rnacentral:misc_RNA from 1 species
CUGAGCAAGAGGGAGACACGAAACUGGAGAGAGUCAGAGAGAUGUGUGAAAGAAAAUGUAGUGGCUGCUCGUAGUUGCGGGGAUGUAGUUUUGAUAAAAAUAUAGCGUUAUUGACAUAAUUAUCAAUACAUAAGAAGUGAAUUUAUAGUGUCUAGCAUUUCACCAAUAUAUUUACAGCAAGUGUCCCUCUUUAUAUUAAUAUUUUGGUUGAUUUUCUAAUACGCUUGGCCCGGGUUAUUGACGUUUCAAUAGAGGUAUCUACUUGGAAAAUUAAGCUUCCGAAUGCUGUUUGUGUACAAUAUAUGUGGGCGUGUGAGAAGUCAAUAAGAAAAUCGGAUACCGAAGAAUUAUACAUUAAGUUGUGAUUGAUUUCAGUUCAUUAAUAUAAAGUGAAUUUAGUGUUUCUGAUGUGGCAAACCGGAUUACCUCACGGCGGUGAAAAUGUGACGCUGUUAUAAUUUAAGAUGGGCGAACGCGUGCGGCGAGCGGGCGGCGCGCCGGCGUCGGGUGACACGGCGCUUGCAUCCAACGAGCACCCUGUUGAUCGAUUGGAUUAAAACGGGCGUAUCCGGCUAGCAUGGAGGACUGCAGGAAGAGACACCAGGCAGGCACUAAAGUUUCGAAAAUUGCGCACAUCUUUCAAGGUAUGCCGUCGAGGGACGAGGAAGAUAUGCGCGGCGCCGAGAUGACGGUUGUCCGGACCGAGAGCCACCUGUCGCGGUUCAACACCGCGCGAGCUCUUUUUGAAAAACUUGGCGAAGAGAACCGCGGCUUCCGUAUCGAGAAGUCUCCGUCGGCUGCAGCCAGUUUUGCCGGCACGCGCAGCGGAGCGCCAUCAGUGCCCUCGCGCUCGCGCUCUAGCUCCGCGGGCUCCGUCAGCCCGCCGCGGCGCACCAUCACGCCUUCGCCCGGCGCGCCUCCUGCCCUCAACGGCGACCGCCUCGCCAACGGUUCCUCGCAGCCCGUGCCUCCGCCGAAACCGGCCAAGCCCAGCGUUUUGCCAAAACCAGAGAAACCUGACAGGCGCUUCAAUAAGGAACUUAUAGAGAAACAAAGAAACUGGACUUCUCAUUUUAGCAAACCGCGUCCGUCGUCGCGGUACGAAACACAUGAACCUAGUGCGCGAGUGGACUCUAAAUAUCCUAGUGGUGUACCGGAAACAAAGUCACCGGAAGUGGCGGAAAGAAGUGUUAUUCCCUCUCGUGUAUACUCGCCCCCGCUAUCGCCAUGCGCCGGGGACUCUCAAGUGGAGCGUCCCACGACUCUCCCUUCUAGUUUAGUUCAUAGAGGUGCGUCAGGUGUGAAAUCUCCUAGUCCUGUGAAAACGAUUGCGCCCGUGUCGCCAUCUACUAGAUCCAAUAAUAUAACGUCUCCCACCUUUAAAUCAGAUUUAAGAAGUGAUAAUUUAAGUUCUUCCUCUAAAGAAAGUGUUGACGCCGGUUCUCAGCAAAUAGGUUCAGCUGAAAUUGUUUAUCCUAAAACUCGGUCAACGCGAACUUCAGUUUCUGCCAGUGAUGAGGCUAUCGCGGAGAAGGAUUCCGCAUCAGACAGAAGUCCUAGUUUACAAUCAUCCGAUUCAUCAUCGAGGUCCGCCGAGAGAUCGUCCCACUCGCCUUCGAAAUCGGCAGAUAGAUCAUCCCAUUCACCCGUGUCUCCGUCUGCAAGCCCUGCGGCGGCUGCCCCGGCUUAUUCUCCUAGGUAUCCUAAAUCGCCCCCUUCACCACCCAUUCGAUCUCCGAAAUCACCCCCUCCAGUGCCACACGAAAAUGCUAAAAUCACAGCGAGUGACCUAAUAGAAAACCGAGUUUCCGAAGAGACAGAAGAAUUAAGGCAGGAAGAUAGAACUGACGGAGAAGUUCCUGAUAUAUUAUCACGGGCUCCGCCUUUGCCGAGCCCUAGAUUACCGGUUUCGCCUCCACCUCAAGAAGACGAUGAAAAGUUAAAGUACGAAAGAGAUUCGACCGCUCCGCAAAGUCCGGAACCUUACGAUAGUGUAGUAGAUUCACCAAAGUUACUUGAUAAAAGCUUGGACGAUGAUGGUUACGAGCACAUAGAGUUCGUCGAGGAGCGGGACGAGAAGAGCAGGCGGUCGUCGACGCCGGAGUCGCCGGCGGGCGCGGCGCCCGCGGCCGCGCCGCGCUCCCCGCUGGCGUCGCCGCUCGCCUCGCCGGUGCAGCGGGACGACUCCUCGCCCACUGUCUUGUCUUCACCCGUACCCCCGGUCGGAGAUCGCAAGUCAUCGGAGGCGGAGGAAGGCGUGCGGCGCGGCGGCUCGCGCGCGUCCAGCGUGUCGGACGAGGGCGGCUUCAACGAGCCCUCGCCCGAGGUGGUGGCGCGCCUGCGCCCCGCCGACUACCGCGAGCCGCCCGCGCCCGCGCCCGCGCCGCUCACGCGCGACCACCGCGACGCCGAGCGCGCGCGCUCCGACCCCGACACGCUGUCCGUGUUGCAGCAGGACUCGGGAGUAGUAGUGAGUGAAGCUAGUCAAGGCUCCAUAGAGGUGCUCGAUAAAUCGACCACCAGCCAAUGGAGCGUAUCCGAAGCGGAGCCGUCGGGUGACCGAGUGGCCGAGACGGGCGCGGAGGCGGACGCCCGCUGGGACGACCCGGACGCGGGCAAGCAGCCCGACAGCAUGACACCCGAUGAGGCUGAGAUCUUGCUUAGCUCUAGUAUUCUGGAGAAAAAACUUAGGCAAGAAGCCCUGCUGUCGGACGAGCAGGCUCAGGAGAUUGUGGCGAUGCUGUCGCCGCACCCGCCGCAGGACAACGGCGUCUCGCUCAACGACAGCUACCAGUCCGUGCUCUCGUACGAGAGCAUGCAGUCAGUGGACGAGAGCUACGAAUUCGUGUCACUCGAAGGCGAGGCAGCCUUAGCCGGUGGCGAUCGCAAGACCUCCCCACCGGAACCUACUGUGUUCGACCAUUACCCUCCUCAAUCUCUCCGGGAACUAGGCGAGGAAAACGGCAUACACUACUUCGAAGACGGACACUUUUAUACCGAGGUGGCUGGUCUUCCGCCUAUCGAAGAAGAUGAGGACGAUGAAUAUUACACACCGCCUGUAUUCGUUAAGAUGAAUAGAAAAGUUAAAUUCAGUACGAACCCAAUGCAAGUGUUCUCCACGCACUCUGUCCGCGAGUACGACCGCCGCAACGAGGACGUGGACCCGGUAGCCGCGUCCGCAGAGUAUGAACUCGAGAAGCGGGUUGAGAAGAUGCACGUGUUCCCGGUCGACCUGCUGAAGGGCGCUGAUGGGCUGGGCCUCUCAAUCAUUGGAAUGGGUGUCGGCGCCGAUGCGGGCUUAGAAAAAUUGGGCAUAUUCGUUAAAACUAUCACUGAGAGCGGAGCCGCCGCGCGCGACGGACGCAUACAGGUCAACGACCAGAUCAUCGAGGUCGACGGCAAGAGUCUGGUAGGUGUGACACAAGCCUACGCCGCGUCAGUGCUACGGAAUACGUCCGGACCAGUGAAGUUCCUCAUCGGCCGCGAGAAGGACCCUGAAAACAGCGAAGUGGCCCAUCUCAUCCGGCAAUCUUUGGCAGCCGAUAAAGAGAGAGAGGACAGGUGGUCGGUAUGGAGGCGGGCGGCGCACCGGCGGCAGAAGUGGUGUCGCGCGUGCGCGAGUGGUGCGCGGCGCGGGCGCCCGACGACGCGCUGCGGGACGACCUCGCGCUCGCCGCCGACACCGCGCAGCGCGCCCAACGCAAAUACGAUAAGGCCCGUCGAGCGUUGCGAGAAUGGCGCCGCACACGCGCCAUGGUUCGCGCGCGCGAAGAAUGGUGGAGCAGCAACGCGCGCGAUGCGCACCGCGAAUACUCAUGCGCGCUGUCCGCGCUGCACGAGCGCGUGGCGCGGCUCGAGGUGCUGCUGCUGGAAACGCAGAAGAAAGCCGGUCUACCGGUGAUGUUGCCGCACGAACCCUCCGCUCGCCGCGAGACGCCGCCGCUACCACGCCGUCCCGACCCAGACCCUCUGCUCAUCAACGAUCCCUGGAGCUCCGAUAGCGACCUGUCCGAUUUGUCACCCAUAGAAGACGAGUACGCCAAAGUAGACAAGUCUGCGCGACGGGAGCGCGAGGCGCGCGAGCGGGAAGCGCCGGACAUCGGUGACGUCACCGUGACAG